GUUAUUAAGUGCAUAAUACUAGGCCAGGUGCCACAGAAAAUACAAAGAAAAGUUAAUACAUAACACAUUCUCUGCCCUCCAGAGGCUUGUGAGCUGCCAUGGAAAACAAGCCAUCCACACCACAAACAAGUGCACGGAGACUCUCAGCUGUGGUGUGUGCCAGGCAGGUAGCUGAGAUCACGUGUCUGAGAGGAGUGCUCAGAGAGGCUUGUGGGAGAAACCUUUAAACCAGUUUUCUGUCAUGGAGACAAGGGACUUGGGGGGAGCCGUGGCGUGGAGGAGGGCGUGCAGAAGUUAAAUUUGUGUGGGAGAGAAGCAAGAUGGCAGAGUAGAAGGACGCUCGUAGCUCACCCUCUCCCACAAAUACAUCAAAACUCACAUCUAUAGACCUACUCAGCCAACCAGAGCACCUGCCAAACUCUGACAGAACAUCGCCCUCUUUGAAAGACAAAGACGCCAAAAACCUGGUAGGAGAAAAGGAAAAAAGAAUGAAGAAAAAGCAAAACAGUGCGGGACUGAUCCUGCGGGGAGGGAGCGGCAAAGGAGGACUGGCACUCAUUUGCUGGGUCUCCCCUCUCCAACGGAGAGGCCAGCAGGAUGGAGGGGGAGCCUCCGAGGCUCAGAUCUGCCCCAAGCACCCCUUGACUGACAGAACUGAGUUAAAAAGGCACAAAGGGUCCCCGCGACACCCAGCCCGAGACGCGAGCCGGCAGCUGGGGCCGGGACAGGCUGCCUGAGCCGGGCAGAGGACGAGGACGGCUGUGCUGAGGCAGCCCCGGGGGACUGCAGGGGGCUGCGCGCUGUGGCUAGGAGCCGGUACGGAGCAGAACCACCUCAGCCCCCAUAAAUUGCGAAAAAAGCAAAGCAACACGGCUGGUGUGCCCUGGGGGUGAAGGGCGCCAUAGCCUUUGUCUCCUCGGACCUGCGCCGCCACUACUGGCGCUUUUCGUGAGAAGAGAGGCGCGGCGCAGCCAUAGCUGGCAUCUCCUCCUGUGCGCAGCACCUGGGCAGGGGCGGGGCUGAGGCCUGAAUCCGCGCCCGGGGGCUCCGCAACCUCCUGGGCAGGACUGAGACUUGUUUACAACCCGAGGCAGAUAGGAUCUUUCUGCCCUGACACCUCAGAGAACUCGUGCCACCAAGACAAACAAGGAGCUGAGAUUUGGCCUGGAUCAGGGGCGGGGCUGUUCCGUGGUCUUCCCUGAGCCCGCCUUCCGAGCGCCAACCUGAAGUGGAGCGGGCAGCUGCACAGAGCAGUGGAGCGACAGGUGCCAGGAGAGGGCAGGUGGCCCCCCCACCCACCGGGUAAGAGCUCAGCACCUGACCCAUUGUUGGGAGGGGGCACGAUCUGUUAGCCGACAGCCACUGGGAGCAGCACAGACAAGGGCGCCAACGGAGGGCUUCUGCAAACAGCAAGCUGAGUACAUGAAACAGGGUGAAGACACAAAGACCUCUCUAUAAAAUCAUUAAGAGCACAUGUCUCCAGGAGAACUAGAUAACUGAUACUCCUUAAGCCACAGCGCCAGACAGAUAUGAGCAAGAUGAAGAAGCAGAGGAACCACUCCAAAUUAAAAGGUCAAGAGAAAUCCCCUGAAAGCACGAUCAAGGAAAUAGACAUUGAUGGCCUACUAGAUCAAGAUUUCAAAAAAGGAGUGAUCAAAGUACUGAAGGAACUAAAAGAAAUAGUGUUUAGAGAUAUAAAAUAUGUCAAAAAUGAAAUAGAAGCUAUAAAAAAGAACCAAGUUGAAUUAGUAAACUCAUUUGCUAGGAUGAGAGCUGACCUAAAGGCUGUACAAAGCAAGCUAGAUAAUGCAGAGGAACGAAAAAGUGACCUUGAAGACAGGACAACAGAAAGCACCCAAUCAAAACAGGUGAGAGAAAAGCAAAUUGAAAACAAUAUAAGGGACCUAUGGGAUAAUAUAAAGCAUGCCAAUCUACACGUAAUAGGGGCUCCAGGAGGGGAAGAAAGAACAAAGGGGACUGAAAAGAUAUUUGAAGAAAUCAUGACUGAAAACUUCCCAAACCUAAAAAAGGAAUCAGAUAUCCAAGUACAGGAGGCUCAGAGGGUCCCAAACAGGAAGAACCCAAGCAGACCCACACCAAGACAUAUCAUAAUCAAGAUGGCCAGAGUCAAGGAUAAAGAAGUGAUCCUAAAGGCAGCAAGAGAAAAACAAAGAGUGAGUUACAAGGGAACCCCCAUAAGGCUCUCAGCUGAUUUCUCUACACAAACCGUACAGGCCAGAAGGGAGUGGCAAGAUAUAUUCAAAGUCCUGAAUGAAAAAAAGAUGCAGCCUAGGAUACUCUAUCCAGCAAGGGUAUCCUUUAGAGUAGAAGGAGAGAUAAAGAACCUCACAGACAAGCAAAAUCUCAAAGAGUUUAGCAACACUAAACCCAUGCUAAAAGAAAUAUUCACAGGUCUACUCUAAAUAGAAAAGAAGCAGGAUGCUACAAAAAUGAGAAACUCAUAACUGGAAAGGAGAUAACUGCCAUGAAUUACAAAAAGAAUAAACACAAAAUUGUAAAAGAAGACAUCUAAAUCAUUAAGAGUGGGAGAGGGAAGCAAGGAAAGCCACUGUGGAAAACAGUAUGGAGAUUCCUCAAAAGACUAGGAAUAGACUUACCAUAUGACCCAGGAAUCCCACUCCUGGGCAUAUAUCCAGAAGGAACCCUACUUCAAAAUGACACCUGCACCCCAGUGUUCAUAGCACCACUAUUUACAAUAGCGAAGACAUGGAAACAGCCUAGAUGUCCAUCCACAGAUGACUGGAUGAAGAAGUGGUAUAUUUAUACGAUGGAAUACUAUUCAGCCACAAAAACUGACAACAUAACGCCAUUUGCAGCAACAUGGAUGUUCCUGGAGAAUGUCAUUCUAAGUGAAGUAAGCCAGAAAGAGAAAGAAAAAUACCAUAUGAGAUCACUCAUAUGAGGAACCAAAAAAAAAAAAAAAAGAAAAA